UACGAAGGGGGCUAGCGUUGCUCGGAAUCACUGGGCGUAAAGCGCACGUAGGCGGACUCUUAAGUCAGGGGUGAAAUCCUGGAGCUCAACUCCAGAACUGCCUUUGAUACUGGGAGUCUUGAGUUCGGGAGAGGUGAGUGGAACUGCGAGUGUAGAGGUGAAAUUCGUAGAUAUUCGCAAGAACACCAGUGGCGAAGGCGGACUCACUGGCCCGAUACUGACGCUGAGGUGCGAAAGCGUGGGAGCA
rnacentral:rRNA from 1 species